GCCGGCUAUAAUUCGGAGAGGUAACUCAUAAACUAGUUAACUGAAAUGGUUUCCGCCAGACUUGUUACUUACAGGUUAGUCAGGCUUGUGAUCUUUGUGAGAACCAUGGGAAAUUGCCCUGACAAUCUGUUUGCCAUCAGUGACCUGCAUGACUUUGGCGUCAACAGAUCAACAUCAUGGAAAAUCACCAUCCAGUGGCACGAAUCUUUCCCUGAGGCUCCAUUUAGUUGUACUACUAGUCAAGCAAACAGUGGGGACAAGAGGAAAGUGCAAGGCCACUCACAGUCCUUGUAACUUCUUCAUCCGGGCCCACUGGUCAGGCACUCCACCAUGGAACAAGUUCCUGCUUAGAUCUCUGCAGCACGGAAACACAGCUGGAGAAGGUUGGGGAGGUCGGCGAAGUCAGGCGGGAGCUUAGCAGAGAAGUUCUGCUCCUUCAAGAAUCUGCGUAGAUUAUCAUGGUGUCAAACCUUCACGCAAUUUUGUUGGCGUAAGGAAUUAAAAAAAACGCAG